GAUUCGCUGCCUCCUCCCCAAUCGAUCUCUCUCUCUCCCGCACAUCUCUCUCUCGCGCUCGCGAGCCGCCGCCUGCGUUCUUCGCCAUCCGCCGCCAGAAAACAUCCUCCCCGUCCGCCGCCGCCAUGCCAUCGCCGCCACCUACCGGAUGGCGCUGUGAAGGAAGCGACCAGAGAGAGAGGCGUCGCCGGUGUCCAUCGAUUUCCCUCGCUAGGGUUUUGGUGGUGGAGCUGGACCUCGCCUCCGGCGGCCGGCUGCUCGUUGCCCCAAUCUCUCGAUCCCCAUGGAUGCGUCCCUGCAGAAGAGAAGAUGCUGAGGGAGGAUAGGAGGAGGUAGGCGCACUGGGGCGGGGUGGUCUCGCCGCGACGAUAGGGCUGGACGGCCGGAGUUGGAUCGAGAUCCCGGCUGGCACGCCUCGCCUCCACCUCCCUCUCCCACCUCUCCGCUCCCAGACUUCUUUCUCCCCUCACUCUAAUUGCUCCGUGGCCACCACCAGCAGCCCGAGGAAGGUACUCUGAAAGGAGGAGCUUGUUGGGACAAUCAAGUGAGAUUGAGGACUGGACCAACAUUGUCGUCGCGCACGAACCAGUGUGGGCCAUUGGCACCGGAGGCUGAAGGUGGUAGCUUGCUGAACUCUCGUUUUGGAAAAAAAUUUGUAGAUGUGGAGUGCUCAUAAAGGAAUGCACGUACGUACGAAUAUGAUGUUUGCUUCCAUUCCCAACUUAUGAAAUGCAUCUUGCGAUACUCACGUGCUCGUGCAGCUGCUGGCUGGAUUUGUCACCCCCGCCUCUCCCUCGCACUCGCGCCCCCAUCCCCCGUUCUCCCGCGACGGCAUGGAUGUGCGGUGUAGUAGGCGGUUCCUCGCCGGUUGGACGGCGUUCAGGCGCAACCCCGACGCCCACUGAGUUGAUGCCCUGGUCGUAUAGCUAUGCUAAAUUGAUAUGUUGUACUUGUGCUAGGGCGAUGGUGAUUAACCUUGGCUGAAAUAAGUGUGCCUUUGAGCAAUCGAGGCACCUGUGGGUAUCAAGUUGGAUCCUCCCUCUUGUCUCUAGAAUCGUUUUUGAUCCUGUGAUACUUGUUGUUCUGCCCUUGGAUGGUCAUUCUUGUAGAGUGAUAACCAGGGUAGCUCCACUGUAUAAACAGAUUGAUCUGGCGAUAAGAGAUGAUGGGGGUAGGUUAUAUGAUCGAGGAAAGACGAAUCUGAGCCCACUAUGCAAUGAACCUUGAACCCUUUUUAUUUGUAUUUAAAAGUGUUGCUUAUUUAUGCUUCAGUUAUUUAUAGCGUCUUAUGUGGACAUUUCUUCUCUCUCAUACCUUUAUUGCAUAUAAGUUGUUCCUGAUGUUUUAUUGUUUGUUGUUGGUCCUUGAUUUAAUCUGGUUAAGAUAAACUGUGGGAAAUAGUUCUGGAUUUGUUGUGUGGUAGUUUGCAAGUGAAUUUGUGAUUUUGGAUUUAGAGUUGAACCCUCUUUUCUGCUGGUUUCCAUGACUCUCAGGUACCAACCUUCACUUUAUACCCACCUAUCAUCUGUUCUGCUUGUUUCCAUGUAUUGAUACUGUUACUUUGCUACAUGGUUCUCUGCUUUUAGUUGUGCAAUCUGAAAUAUGGUUCUUGGACUGUUUCAUGUAAGGCACCGGAUUUGCUAUAAGUCCGCAGACGGCAAGAGCAUGCUUGUGCUUGCUCUGUUACAAGACGAAAAGUUUAGAUUUCAUGGUUCAUAAUAUAAAAUGGCAAUAUUUAGGACCAGAUCACAAUACGGCUAUGAUACAAGAUCUCAUGGUCAUGUAUUAGCUGGUAGUAACGUCAUGUUCUUUUGAGUCUGACAAAGCCUUUAUUUUUUGAAAAUGGUUUCAACGGACAUACAAUUAGGCUGGCGGCUAGAGAAAAGACUGAAUAAUGGCUCCCAUUAGACGUACUAUCAUUCCUCAAAUGGCCAUGUGCUCUGCUUCUUUUUACUGUCGAGUCUUUUAACAAUUGAUCUCUUUCUUUAGCAAUCUAUUGUAUUAGUUACCAGACAUACACUUUUUAAACCUUACUGGGUUUGAAAUUGGUAUUCCAUUACGUUUUGCCACUCGCUUCUGCAAGAGAGAAUGCUUAUAAUAAAUUUCAUGAUGUAACUUCAUAUGAUUUCCAGUUAACAAAUUCCUACUAUUUUGGCACUCCAAAUAGAUAAAAGGAAGUGUACCUGCUAUUCUAAGAUUCAGAUAUCAGGCACAUACAUAAUGUAUCAUCCCUUAUGACUCUGAAGCAAUUCGAGUGAUGGUCUAAGUAUUUCAUACCUCUGUUUAUUGAGCAGUUUAUGUCUUAUGCAUGAUUAGUGGGUUAUCUACUACACACUUUUUAUUUUAAAUGUUAGCAAGGUAACCAGAACUAUGAUACGACCAUAUAGACAGCGACCGAGUGAUAUUAUAAAUCCUUUUAGUACCUUUUUCAUUGCUGACGUGUUCUUCCAAUAAUCUUGGUGCCCACUAUUCUUCUUGGAUAUAGGAUUCCGAUAUAGCAAUUGCAAUAGUCCUCCCAGUUCACUCUUCUGAAUUGUGGCCUGCUGAUUUUUUGUUAUCCAAAAAGGUAGCAGUUCAUAUGUUACUCAUGGACAACCAUAUGAUGUUCUGUCUCAUGUACAUUAAGAGAAUUGCUAAAAAUACUUACUGAAGAUAAAGUUGUAGAAUGUACUAUUGAAACACAGAAUAUCGUUUACCCUUAGCCUCUGCUGGGUCCUUUUGAGAUAUCUGUGUACCAUCAUGGUCUUAUAUUUUGUAGUGUGGUGCCUUUUUUGUUUGCUUUGGGUUCAGCUGCCUUCGUCUGUGCAUAACCUUUUGGUAUAAUCAUAAAACGAGAUAGUCGAUUUCUUAUUCUUGGAAUAGUGCUUUCGCCCGAAUAAUAAAUAAUUUCGUGUAGGGAGAGGGGGCGUAUAUCCAUACACUACCCGCAUCAUGCUAAUUGCAUGUAAUCUGUCUCUCUUUCAUAUAUCUGUUGGUAGUUUUUCUUUUCGAGGUUGCUUUGUCCUCUCCUGAUUAUUCUUUUCCUGGUGAUUAAUUUCUAACUAUUUGUUGUAGAUGGCAUUCAAUGCACUGUUCUUUUGAUGCGUCGGCUUGAAAACGCAUUAUGAUAUACAUUUAACUGUAGAUGGCAUGUACAUUCAACUUGCUUACUCCACAGUUGCGCAAAAAUUUCCUUGGUUCCAGGUUCUGAAUGCGUGUUAAUCCAGCAUCUGUUUUUGACCCUGUAGAUGAAUUUAUCCCGAGAUGUUUAUACAGGGAAGGAGGCAUACCAUUGAUAGUUUGAAUCAAACCAGUAGAGGACGCCACCGUCGAUUAUGGUGUCGAGCAAUGGAACUGCAGUGAUCUGGCAGUGUGACUAUUGACCUCCUUGACACCAUUCACGUUCGUCGCUCUGAACCCACUCAGCAGACAAGUAACUCUUUAUCCUUAAAUUCCAUGUAUAGCUCUGUAUCCUUAAAUUCCCUGCAUUAUUCUCAUGGCCGUUGAAUACAUCAUUUAACCACACGUAAAUGGUUAGGAACCAAAUAAAUUUAAUUUUAUCUUCAAUACCCUCUCCAAAAUAUUUCUAUUGUCUGUAUUAGGAAGGAUCUAUAAGAGUUGCUGCUAUAUAUAUGUUGUGAUUCUUGUGAAUCCGCCCAUGUAGUUAAUAUGUGGUUCUUCAUUUUUUUUCUUAGUUCAAGCCCCUGAGAUAAUGCUUUUAAAUUAUUAACUGACUAUAGUUCAAGAUUUAGUGAACAUGUCAACAUACAUGGUGAUCUUUACAACUUAUCUAUUUUUUCUGUGGGGCUUCUUCAAAUAUAAUAAAUUAGGAAUAAAUAAUGUGCAGUAAUCAUGUUUCUUUUCUUAUCACUAUACUUCAGUAAUGGUAUCUACACAAUGUAUACAUACUGCUAUCAUAGUGCAGUGUCAAUGAAGUGUGCUGCUUCUACUUGCAUAAAAGCUGAUAUUGACAUGCUCCUUAGCCAUGUGAUCUUCAAGGGCCUUUGGCUAUGUGUAUCACUUCACAGAUUAAGGAUGUAGCUACAAUCAUUAUUAGUCUUUUUGGUUAUCUUCCUUAAAAAAAAAGCAGCUUAGAGACCUACUGGCUGCUCUGGAUCAAGAUUAUAAGCAGAUUUCGUAUAUUUGGACAACAGACAGAGAUUUUGUUUCAUAUAUGCAUAUGCCUUUAUUGUAUAAUUCAGUUCUGCCACCACAUUUUUAUCACAUACAUGAAUUUCCCCUAUACCAGAUAUUAACGUUUGAAAUUAGUGACAUCUACUCAAAUAAAUAUCCACAGGUUGUGGCAUAGACAUGUUCACAUCAGCAAUCUUUUCUUUGAGAUAUCUGGCGGCCCUUCGUAACCAUCGAAUUCAAGUUAUCUUUGAGUACACGACAGCUUCUGAAGUUCGUGUCAUCAUGCUUUAGUUUCCCACAUUGGCUGAGAUUAUGCAAACAAAAAGACGGUCUCAGGCACAAGAGCAUGAUGUGCUUGCGCCAGUUGCUUUCACACCAAGGCCACGCGGUUGAUCAUCUAAGCGCACCUAUGAAGUUGACCGACAAAGCAGUUGGACAGAGCUACUAAUUAAUUAGUAUGCCUAAUAGCCAUGGCUUUGUAGUUUGACCGCCUCUACCGUCAGUAUGCCUGGCUUUUGCUUUCUUAUUAUGUUCCUGCUAUUAGUACUUCCUCUCUCGUGUUCGUGCUCUUAGUAUUGAACUUAAUGUCGUAGUUAUUAGCUUUUGUGGUCUAAUGAACUAACUGAGUGUUUAUAAUUUCAUGACGAUGUUGAGCUUGAUAAUGUCUUGCUUUGUUGUCCUGUUCAA